GGCCGAUGGCGACCGGCGCACGGGUGAGUAACACGUAUCCAACCUGCCGUCUACUCUUGGACAGCCUUCUGAAAGGAAGAUUAAUACAAGAUGGCAUCAUGAGUCCACAUGUUCACAUGAUUAAAGGUAUUCCGGUAGACGAUGGGGAUGCGUUCCAUUAGAUAGUAGGCGGGGUAACGGCCCACCUAGUCUUCGAUGGAUAGGGGUUCUGAGAGGAAGGUCCCCCACAUUGGAACUGAGACACGGUCCAAACUCCUACGGGAGGCAGCAGUGAGGAAUAUUGGUCGAUGGGCGAGAGCCUGAACCAGCCAAGUAGCGUGAAGGAUGACUGCCCUAUGGGUUGUAAACUUCUUUUAUAAAGGAAUAAAGUCGGGUAUGCAUACCCGUUUGCAUGUACUUUAUGAAUAAGGAUCGGCUAACUCCGUGCCAGCAGCCGCGGUAAUACGGAGGAUCCGAGCGUUAUCCGGAUUUAUUGGGUUUAAAGGGAGCGUAGAUGGAUGUUUAAGUCAGUUGUGAAAGUUUGCGGCUCAACCGUAAAAUUGCAGUUGAUACUGGAUGUCUUGAGUGCAGUUGAGGCAGGCGGAAUUCGUGGUGUAGCGGUGAAAUGCUUAGAUAUCACGAAGAACUCCGAUUGCGAAGGCAGCCUGCUAAGCU
rnacentral:rRNA from 1 species